AGUGCGCUGCCGGACGAGAGUAGGCCAUCGGCUUUCCGCGGGCACACGCGGGUGGCUGUGGUUGAACUGACUCUCGGGUUUCCGCUCCUGGCUGUUCAAGCCGAUUAAUUGCAGUGGCCUCUACAGUUACCUAGUGGCUGCUCCCGGAUACGGACGCACGCGAGGGAUGCAGGAGUCAUCUUUCACUAAUCACCGGAAUCCCCUUUCCAAUCAGGGCAAGGCAGUGUCUCAGGUUGCUUUGGGAUCUCCUUUUAUUGCAGUUAUAAUCCUCCAGCGAAAAAGUUAUUUGUUUGUGUUUUGUCUGUGAGCCUCGUUUUCUAAAUGACUGUUGAGGGAAAUUGGUGCUUCGGGGACCAGGUCCUCGGGAAAAAAAAAUCAUGUAUAUAUAUGCUUACACGCCCACGCCUGUAAUCCCAG
rnacentral:lncRNA from 1 species